CUUCUCUCUAGUUGGGGUGCCUGUGAAACCGGCAGGCUCUCUCCAAAUGCCUGGAUUCUGCUGGGGGAGUAAGAAGUCAGGAGUAGUUUGUCUGAUGGUAUUGGGAUCUGCUUUGCAAUUGCCAAGCGCUAAGGCACAAGCUGGCAGAUGUGCUGCGGCUCUGCUACGGGCGGCUCUGUCGCCUUCAGUCGCAGGCUGGUUCUUUGGGGGAAAGUUGUAUCCAAUAUUGGUGACUCCCGGGAAUAGUCUGUUUGUGUGCUACUUAAUGGUCUCUAGGCUUCCUUGUCUUGUAGAACCUUGUUAGAAAGGAGCCUUGGUGAUUAAGAGGCUAUGGAGUACACAGCCUUGCUUAGCAGAUGAGCCCUUAUCCAUUUCCCGUUUCCUUAAAAACGGCUAAUUGAUGGAUGCUGCAGAAAACAUGCACUCUGCUAAUAAGAUGCUGAUGACAAAAUAGGUAUCAGGAAAGGCAUUUACUGCUUAUGAGCACCAUCAGCUUUCUUUCGAGUGAGAUUGUGGCUUUGUAGUAAAGUUUUUUUUUAAGUAAUAUGCUAAUAGUUUUAUUCUAAAUCGGCCAGCGCUGAAUAUCUUCAGGAAAAUGGGUUCCAUGAGAAGUGACAUCCUCCUCGAAUCAAAAGAUUCUCAGGAUGAUGGAGUGAGUGAUGGAAUAGGUUGCCAACUGUAGUUACUCCACUCAGCACAGAAUGGCUGCGGGGAAAUAUAAUCAGACAUGCCCAAAGAAGUCUGCUUAGGGUGAAACAAAUACCUUUGAGGUUUAAAUCAGAAAGGAAGGAGAGACUGUUUCUACAGGUGUCAUACAAAAAUCAAUACUGAGCCAAGGAUUAUUGGAUCCCAUAGAACCACGGAGACUUGGUAGUGAAAUUCUUCCAAAGCAUUCCAUCCGUGCAGGCAGAUGGUGUUCCUAGGUUUGGAAAUAUAAAUCCCAUGGGAAGUCAGCUGAAGACCAUUUUAUGCAUCACUCAUCCUGUUAGAGCCCUGUGCUGUUCUGUCUCUCUAUAAGACUGGCUGAAACCACCACGGUUGUUUACAAUUUAUGCUCUAACUUUGGAUCACCUAGUUAAUACUCUAACUCCGAUUAUUACCAAAGACAAUGUUCUAUAAAAGAUAUUGUCUAUUAGAAGGAUGCUUCUGCAUUAUUAAUAAAAUCACAGGGAAAAUGCAACAUUUUGGAUGUCACAUCUGAUAAGUGGGUGACUGAUCGUACCCGCCAGCUGGCUAAUGUCAUAAUUAACAAAGUUGCUACUACAUCUGCAAAGUUUAAUCGAAAAAUUUGCCAGUGAUAUGAUGGCCUUGUCACAGAGAUCACAAGGGACACGGAGUUGACUUUUGCUCAAGGUGGAACGACAGAGCUGUGUAGGCAAGAUGAGAAAUUGCGAACUUGUUCGGCCAAAGGAACGACUAUGCUCUGGAGAGUCCUGUAAUUUGCAGAAAAUGGACCAAGAUAACAUUUGAGUUCCAUGCUACCAAAAUCCUCUUGAGAAGGACAGCUAGCUACCCAGAAUAUUUAACAUUGUGACAUUGAAAUGUUGGAUGAACGAUUAAAAUGAAGAAUCUAGUCAUAGGUUGUAAGAAAUCGCUAAAUUAUUAUGUUUAAUCCAAAGAAGAGAAAGGAAAAGCUGUUUUCAUUCCCCCCAGCCUCUGAGGAGGCUAAUAAUGAAGGGGCCGGGAAGGAGGCCAGUGCUACCAGGGUUAUCUCACAACCUCAGAUGCUGGAUAAGUCGACGGAGGCAGAAUCGCUUUGGGAUGACAUUCAGAAAGCCUGGAGUGAUUACUUGCAAGAGAAAAGCCUACCUAUUCUUUCCAAGGUGCAGGAAUAUUCCCCUGACCUGCUCAUCCAGUGGUCCAGUAAUGAAUUACUGGAGACCUGCCUUAGACAAAGAAUGCACUCGGAGCCCCAACACACCUAAAGCCAUGCUUUGAAGGAUCUGCCAAGCUCACUUUUAAUCAUGAGAAAGAAAUUACCCACACGGAGUCAGCAGAAAAUGAGAAAGUAGAGCUCGUGCUGUGAAUAAUUCCAGCAAGUGCCAAGGGGCUAGUUGAGGAAUGGCUUCAUGAGAACAUGCUCUAGGGGAACUAUUAAUAGCCCACCAGUCGGGUAGGCAGCAUUCAAUCCUUCUAUGCCUUCUUUCGCCACCUGUUGAGGUCUUUCUUCUGAAACAAAGAAGAAAUAGACAAAUCAGACUUGCCCUCUUGGAAAUGUGGUCCAGAUUUCUCUACUCCCAAGCUCCAAAAAAGGUAUACAUUGGAUGGGCUAGAUCAACUCCUCCUGAGAGCCAUAAAUCCGCCAAGAGUUGUUUUCCAUGUAAGGGUGUGGUACAAUGGGGAACACCUGAUGUUGGAGGAAAGCAGGAGGACUUUAGAGUGGAGUUGCAUUCUAAUCUCUCUGCCGCUUCAACUAUGUGACCUGGGGCAAAUGAUAUAAACUCUAUGAGCCUCUUUCCUUAUCUUUAAAAUGAAGAGAAGUAAUACCUACCUUGUAGGGCUGUUGUGAGGAUUAAAUGAAGUAAUGCAUACAGUGCCUAACAAAGUAUUUAACAUCAUAUUUUUUAAAAGCUCAUGAAAUAUUAGUUUUUCUUCCUUCCCCUCUUUCUAUUUUCUCUCCUGUUCCCUUUUCUCUCCCUCCUCUGCCCUCUCCUUCCUUCAGAUGUUAGUCUAAAACAGCACCUUGGAUCUAAGCAGCACCUUUGAGAAAGAAAAGACUGCUUCAAGAAUGUCUAGUUGCACCUCCUUUCCGUAUGUGGCCUAAAUGCCUAGGUUGGAUCAAUAGUUUAAUUUUUUUAUUGAACUGUUUAAUAUUGACUAUGGACUUACAUUCACUUUUACUGUUUUCUGUAUAUUUACUUUUGCUUGAAGUGUUUUAAUAUUGACUAUUUACCUCUGCUCAUUUUUAUUGAUUUUCUGUAUUUUUUCAAUGAAAAUUAUAAUAAAAAUUAUUUUUGUUA
rnacentral:lncRNA from 1 species